CCUACGGGAGGCAGCAGUGGGGGAUAUUGCACAAUGGGGGGAACCCUGAUGCAGCGACGCCGCGUGGGUGAAGAAGCGCCUCGGCGCGUAAAGCCCUGUCAGCAGGGAAGAAAAUGACGGUACCUGAAGAAGAAGCCCCGGCUAACUACGUGCCAGCAGCCGCGGUAAUACGUAGGGGGCAAGCGUUAUCCGGAUUUACUGGGUGGAAAGGGGGCGCAGACGGCGAUGCAAGCCAGGAGUGAAAGCCCGGGGCCCAACCCCGGGACUGCUCUUGGAACUGCGUGGCUGGAGUGCAGGAGGGGCAGGGGGAAUUCCUGGUGUAGCGGUGAAAUGCGUAGAUAUCAGGAGGAACACCGGUGGCGAAGGCGACCUGCUGGACUGCAACUGACGUUGAGGCCCGAAAGCGUGGGGAGCAAACAGGAUUAGAUACCCCAGUAGUC
rnacentral:rRNA from 1 species